GACGAACGCUGGCGGCGUGCUUAACACAUGCAAGUCGUACGGUAAGGCCCUUUCGGGGGUACACGAGUGGCGAACGGGUGAGUAACACGUGAGUAACCUGCCCACAACUUUGGGAUAACGCUAGGAAACUGGUGCUAAUACUGGAUAUGUGCUCCUGCUGCAUGGGGGGGGUUGGAAAGCUCCGGCGGUUGUGGAUGGACUCGCGGCCUAUCAGCUUGUUGGUGGGGUAGUGGCCUACCAAGGCGGCGACGGGUAGCCGGCCUGAGAGGGUGACCGGCCACACUGGGACUGAGAUACGGCCCAGACUCCUACGGGAGGGAGCAGUGGGGAAUAUUGCCCGAUGGGCGCAGGCCUGAUGCAGCAACGCCGCGUGCGGGAUGACGGCCUUCGGGGUGAAAACCGAUUUCAGCAGGGACGAAGCUUUUUGUGACGGUACCUGCAGAAGAAGCACCGGCUAACUACGUG
rnacentral:rRNA from 1 species